rnacentral:rRNA from 1 species
UUGACCUCGGAUCAGGUAGGAAUACCCGCUGAACUUAAGCAUAUCAAUAAGCCGGGAGGAAAAGGAUCAUUACCGAGUUUACAACUCCCAACCCCUGUGAACAUACCUUUAUGUUGCCU